UUGGCGUUUUGCAUUCUUUGGGGAGGCAAUUGUGAUGGUUCCAUUUGCUAUUCUAGGUUUUGUUAUAAAAUCUUUACAGUUGAAAGGUAUAUGUUGUGUUAGUUUUAAUUUUUUUUUUAUGUAAUCUAUUACCAUUUCCUAGCUAUUCUUAACAACUUGUGGAUACAGGUUUUUACCCUGCUGGAUCAAAAAAAGCAUUGACUGGUACAGAGAUAGCUGUCAUAGAACUUAAAGAGAUUGAGAAGUUUAUGAGGAAGACCAAGGAUCAAGCAGGCAUGCAGGUUGAUGAAAAUGAUUAUUCAUCAGAGGAAUCUUAUUAACAAACACUUUUAUUAGCAAUGGUGGAAAAUAGUUUGGGCUGCAUCAGAAGAUUUGAUUUUGUGUUUUUG